UAGGAGAGCCGCCGUUUUCCAUCAAAAUGACCCCUUGUUCAUCUUCUUCAAGACCAAAGAAUAGACCCCCGCUGGACCUUCUUCUCCUUCACCUUCCAAAUCCUUUGAACUUCAUCUUCUUCGUCCUUAGGAUCAGCAAAAAACUCAAAAAAAUGGGACCUUAAGGGACCUACACUAAAGAACGGACAGCGCCGUUUCCCUGGACCUUGUUCUUCGCUGCUCUCUCAUCUUCAAUAGAAUCAAACCCACACAAAAAGGAGAACCCAUUUUUCCCUUCAGCAAAGAGAACAGCGGUGCAAAGCAUCAAAAAAUCAGCCACCCCUUUGCCUUCGCUCCACCUUCUCUCUUCAUUUUUCUCUCAUAAAAAGCUUUGAAAAGAGCUCCUGAAGUAUUUAAUACAAAACAUUUUGUUUCUUCAUAUUUUGAUCGAUUUCUGUUUUAAAAGUGAUGGAUUUUCAGUUGAAAUCGAAGUCUGAUUAUGAAUUCGUAGUCGACUGGAAAUUUCUAUCGCCAAUUCGAGUUUUCCGGUCAAGAGUAUUCUGGGUCUGUUGAGCGCUGUUGAUGGAAUUGCCGUGAAGAUGAUGCUGUGUUUCGUUGAUGCUGUUUUGCUAAGCUACAACUUUCCUCUUGCCUUUAUUUGGCUAUUCACGUUUGUAUUUACUGAUGUUUAGAGGUAUUUAUCUCAAUCUCGAAAUAUAAGUGUUGUUUGGAUAUUUAUGUGCUAAAAACUUGCUGAAAUUGCAAGGAAAUGGUAUGAUGUUUUUGGUUAAAAUCUGAUUCUUUACUUCUUUUAGUUUAGUUUAAUAAAAAGGGAAAAUCCUUAAUUGAAAAGUUUAAACAAGAACAGAUCACCACUGGCCGAAGUGGUUUUUGCUAAAGUUGUCAGCGAUGAUUUCUAUUCUCAUUCUUUCUAGAAGUAAAUUUCCUAAUUCUCCUUCAAUAUCCAUUGACAUUGGUGUUUUUUUUUUAAUUUCUCAUAGGCUUCUUCUGUUUGAGAUACAAUGCCUUUUUACUUGAUCGUAUUUUUAUAAAUUCUAAUGAAUUAUUUCAUUGAUGAGGCAACGUAUUCUGUGUUGGGAAGUUCAUUGGAAAAGCUGAAGUUAUGCAAUUUGGUUCAUAAAUCCAACUUUGUAAUUAUGUUUAGAUCCUCUGUUAACACUUUUAUUUGGUCUAGGGAACGAUUUGAAUUUUAGUUGGAGGAUGAUCUUCUUUAAUCCAAUCGAUAAACAAUUUUGUUUGGCUUCAUUUUUGGGAUGGAUGAGGAAGAGGCGUAAACAGAUGUAACUGACUAACUGAGAAAGCUCAUUACUUAGUCAAUUGCUUUAUUGUUUAAAAUAAACUAGUCCACAAAUCUCAUUAAUCUUGCUGAUAUGCUUGCACUGUUUAUUUCUGAACUAGCGCAUCAAAAAAAAAUGAAUAGUUUAAAUUGUAUAUUUAUCUACUUUUUUUUUACCCCCAUGGUUUACUGUGGAGAUCUGGGACUUGUGCUAAUUUGAUGUUGUAUCUAAUUGUCCUGAUGUUGUUUUUUUGCUCGACUCUUUAAUGUGUGCGAAUCUUGUUAGUCGUUGCUCUCGCUGCUCUCAACUCGGACCAAAUAUAUGUGAAGAAGUUUAACUGAGGGGUGCCAUCUACUAUUGAAAUUUAUAAUCUAUGGCCCUCACAUUAAUACCAAAACUAGUGUAGAAGAUACUUUGAACAUUCAUAACUAGUUUAGAAAAUACUUAUGAACAUCAUAGCUUGCUUUAGGCACGAUUAAAUAAAUUAUCACAACUAGGGGUACGGUUCCCCUGGCGUAGUUAUGAUACCUAAUUUUAAACUAUAUUUAAAUGGGAGCAUCCUUAGUUUGCUUUAGUAAAAAUACAAAUAUUUUAAAAAUAAAUCGAGGUGUGCCAAUCACAAUCGAAUCACUUAAAUCUAUGGCCCUCAUAUUAGUAUUAUAACUUAGUAUAGAAAAUAUUUUUAAGCAUUUGUAGCUUGCUUUAGGCGCGCUUAUAAUAAAGUCAUAAUAGCUACGGGUACGGUUCCCGUGACGUAGCUGUGAUACCUAAUUUCCAAAUUCGGAGGUAUAUUUAUGUGACCCGGCCAUAAUUUCUAAUAACUUUAAUAAAUUAAACAUGUUGUAGAUUGUGGGUACAGUUCCUGUGACACGAUUCACAAUGUGUAUCAAACAAACAAGUAUACGACAAUCGUAACUUGUUCCAGAAUAAUUCCAUAGAAUAAUUAAAAGCGGUUAUAAAGUUUAAAAAUGCACAAUAUGUUGAAAAUAUAUAGUAGAUCAGAUAAUAUGCCAAUUAUUAAUAGCUUAAGCGACCGUGCUAGAACUACGGAACCCGGGAAUGCCUAACACCUUCUCCCGGGUUAACAGAAUUCCUUACUUAGAAUUUCUAGUUCGCAGACUUUUGAAUAAAGUCUAAAUUUCCCUGAUUUGAGAUUUAAAAUAAACCGGUGACUUAGGACACCAUAAUAAACUAUUCCAAGUAGCGAUUCCAAAAAAAAAAAAAAUCCCAUUUCGAAUAAUGUCACUUUAAUUGGAAAAGCUCCCUUAUAUCCCCUCUUAGGUGGUAAAAGGAGGUGUGACAUGAGGAAGUUGAGAAAUUGGGGGAAAAGUUCCCCAACCAAAAAUCUGAGAUUUGAGUAGGAUUUAGGCGUCGGAUUUAAUUGAUUUUUGCACGAGUGAUUCUUGAGUGAAUGAGUGUUCAUAAUUUAUGACUUUAACCCGAUUCCGAGAUGUGAGCCCGGAGAGGCUUUUUGGGCUUUUUCUAUUUUCUUGCCUUAGCUUUGAUUCCAUUAGCUAAAUUAGUUGCUUGUAGCUAUAUUUACGUUAUGUAAUUGAUUUGAUUAGAUUUGGGCCACUCGGAGUUGGAUACUCGUGGUAAGAGCGUGAUUUCGGAUUGAUUUGAGCUUGGUUCGAGGUAAGUGGCUUGCCUAACCUUGUGUGGGGGAACUCCCCUUAGGAUUUGGUAUUGUUUGAUAUAUGAGCGUUGUGUACGUGAGGUGACGAGUGCGUACACGAGAUAUUUGGUGAAAAAUCACGUUUUCUUUAAGCAAAUAUUUGUUUUCCUUUAACUGAACAACACUAGUAUAUAUAACUAUCCUGUUUAGCUUAUGAAAGCAUGCCUACUUGCCUUAACUGUCUUAACUGCCUUAACUACCUUAACUGCCUCUCCGAACUCUGUGCAGCAUGUUUAGUGAAAAUUACCUGUCUUUAUUCAUAUGAACUUAGUCUAAACUGUAGAAUUCCUUGUUGAAUUUGUUGUUUAUGUUGAUUGAGUUGCCUAUUUACUUUGGACUACGGAAUGGUAUUCCGAGAGAUCCCCCUACAUGUUUAUGUUUGAGACUACGGGACGGUAUCCCAGGAGAUCUCCCUGUACUAUAUAUUUACUUUGGGACUACAGAAUGGUAUUCCGGGAGAUCCCCCUGCACAUUUACGUUUGGGACUACGGGAUGGUAUCCCGGGAGAUCCCUUGUUAUCUCUGUGUACUGAGUUGUUGUUUUUCUGUGAUUUCAUUCUUGUUAAAUUUAGUAUUUAUUCUUACUGCAAUAUUUCAUUUUGUAUUAUUUUGUUAUAUAUAUCGCUCGGGGGCCCCUGACCUAAUCUCGUCACUACUCGACUGAGGUUAGGCUUGGGACUUACUUGGUACCGCUGUGGUGUACUCAUGCCCUUUCCUGCACAUGUUUUUCGUGUGCAGAUCCAGGUAGCUCACAUUAGUUGCAUUACCAGUGAGGCGAGACGAUUGUAGAGACUUCGAGAUAUAUCUGCCGCAUCCGCAGACCCAAGAGUCCCUAUCUACUCUUCCUUAAGCUAAAGACUUUCUUGUAUUUUCUUCGUUGAUAGAUUCUAGAGUUUAAAAGCAUUGUUUUCUUUCUGUAGCUUGUAAUUCAUGAUAUUUCGGGUUUUGGGAGCAUUUGUGUUCAAUUCGAGGGUGAUUAUUGUAUAUGUCGCGAGACAUCUAAAUUUCUUAAAUAAUUUACCUGUUAAAUUGUUAGUUUUUCAUGUUUUCGUCUUAUUUCCC
rnacentral:lncRNA from 1 species